GGACAAACGUGUGGCUAAGUGUACAGGCUUAGCAGAUUUCCAGGCGGAUGGAGAGACAUUCUCUGACAGCUGAAAGCUAAGGCUCAGCCUCUAGAGGAUCACAGAGAAGGAGGCUUGUUGUGAAACUGAGUCAGAAGGAUGCUCUUAUAGCAGACUUUCAAGACAACCCUUAGCCCGGGAUAACAACCAGAGGAUGACUGGCCUGAGAACUUGGUAUUCCAGAAAGCAGAAUUCAGGUGGCAGAACCUGUGGACCCAAAAGGAGCA
ensembl:lncRNA